rnacentral:rRNA from 1 species
UGGGGAAUAUUGGACAAUGGGCGCAAGCCUGAUCCAGCAAUGCCGCGUGUGUGAAGAAGGCCUGCGGGUUGUAAAGCACUUUCGGUGGGGAGGAUGGUGUUUAUGGUGCAUAGCCAUAGGCAUUGACGUUACUCACAGAAGAAGCACCGGCUAACUCUGUGCCAGCAGCCGCGGUAAUACAGAGGGUGCGAGCGUUAAUCGGAAUUACUGGGCGUAAAGGGUGCGUAGGUGGAAACUUAAGUCAGGUGUGAAAUCCCAGGGCUCAACCUUGGACUUGCGCUUGAGACUGAGUAACUAGAGUUCUAGAGAGGAAUGUGGAAUUUCCGGUGUAGCGGUGAAAUGCGUAGAUAUCGGAAGGAACAUCAGUUGCGAAGGCGGCUCUCUGGACUCAAACUGACGCUGAGGCACGAAAGCGUGGGUAGCGAACAGGAUUAGAUACCCCCGUAGUCCCUGAGCGGGCUGGCAAGGCGCAU